rnacentral:lncRNA from 1 species
GAUGAACAUUAAAAUCCUUAAUCAACAAAAUGUCUCUUUAGCAGAAACUUUCAAUGUUAAUAUUUCAACCUUGCAUUGCUAAUAUUUCAUUUUGUCAUUUUAUGGAAUUUUCCAGUUUCUCCUAAUUCAGGUAUUUCCAAGAUUUUACAUAAGUGCAUUUAUAAUUUUAAGUGGAAAGUAUGUAAAUUAUAAUCUUUUUUUAAAUAGGUUUUUUAAAUUUGCUGAUAGACCUUUAUUUAUUUAUACAUGGUGCUGAGAAUUGAACCCAGCGCCUCACACGUGCCAGGCAAGUGCAAAAUACUGAGCCACAGCCCCAGCCUGCAAAUCAUAAUCUUAAUUUCUGCUUAAGCUCUAUUGACCAAACUAUUAUUAUAAAGCCCUUCCAUUAAACUUGCCUUCAGCUAUACAUUCAGAAGAUUAGUACUAUUGCAUGCAUUCUUAUUACAGAUCUCAAAGCCAAAGAAGAAAAUAUUGAAUCUGAUACCCACUUAAGCACUUGUGUAAAAGGAUACUUGUACUGUAAACAAAAUUUUCUUAGUGCUUAAGAUUGUUCCCUAGAAAUAUAUUAGGUACUAUGGAAAGUAAUCAUCAUCACAUUAAACAGACUUUAAUCCUGUGUGAUAGUUUAACCAAGUGCCCAAAGCAAGUCUAAUAGAGUGGGAGUUCUUUGAAGAUAGAGAUCUGUGUCAUUUAAUUUUGUUUCUCAAGUUUCUAAAGUAGCUAAGCACUCUUGAUAUAAAACAUCCUCUUGAGUCUUUUCUUUUUUUUUUAUCUUAGACUCUUUACCAAUAACAAAUCACUACAGAAUUUCUUUGCCAAGUUUUUAUUCUAAGGAACUAAUUGUUCUCUAUGACAUACAUACCUUCUAAAGUGUCUUGGACCUUUCUUUGUAAAUUUACAUUCUAAUAUAAAACAUAUAAACAUAACUCUAUGUUAUGUUUACUUGUUAUUUUUAUUAAUGAUGUACCAAUAAGUACAUGUAUAAAGACAUAAAUGGUGUGACUCUACUUUGUAUACAACCAGAGAAAUGAAAAAUUGUGCUCCAUUUGUGUACUAUGAAUCAAAAUGCAUUCUGCUGUCAUGUAUAAUUAAUUAUAACAAAUUAAAAAAAUAAAGUCAGACUUGACCAAAAAAAAACCUUUCUAUAAAAAUAUUUUCCAUCUUC